ensembl:lncRNA
CUGUUUUGCAGUUUACACCUCUCCACGCUGCGUGCAUUAAAAUCAAUUGUUUGAAUGACCUCUUCUGGACUAUCAUUGUUUUACUCUCAUCCUCAAUUUCGAACCCGUAACAUUUGGUGCAUUGGCCGAGGUUGAGGGAGAGAAGUUGGAGAAUGAGACUGAGAGGGUCCAAGGUGCUCAAACAGGCAGACACGAGUCAGUGGUCGAAGUGAGUGGACAUAAGCCGGCUUAUUGAAAGGUAAGGCACUACCUGUUGAAUUAUUUCCAAACAGUGCUGAAUUGGUUCUGACAAAAUUGAAAGUCUACUCACUGAAAUUACUGGUAAAGGUCUGUUUUGAUUUUGGUGAAAAUCUCAUGAGAAUUGAAGUUGAAGUAAUGAUAAUGUAAGGUUAAGUGACAGUACUGAUUAAAGGAAAUGCAGUUGGACUGCUAAGGAAAGAGAAUUUAAAGUAGUUGGACUACUAAAUAGGAAUAGGUAAAAGUAACGGAAAUAGGAAAAGGACAAGUUAAAGUAGUUGGACUACUGAAUUUAGGAUAUAGGUCAUUUGAAAUCUGUAUAUGGUCAUACAGUUAUAAUUGAAUAUAAAGCUGGGCUUGGACAUCAAUAAAGUCGGUUUGGUGGUUUCAUAGGAUGUGUUAAGAGAUUUUCAAAUGUUUCAAGUAUUAUUCCCACUGCCAUUUGUACGUUAUUGAAAGUUUAUCUUUAAUUUUAGUGUUAAUAGUUGUUUACCCAUUUAUUCUUUCCAUUUAAUCGUAUUUUACUGCUUCACUAGAAGUGAAGCUGAAGUAAAGACAAAAGCAUAGUGUUCUCAGAUAUGAUUUACCCAGGACAUCUCCUCUGUACCUGGUUCUCUACGAGCCGUUUCACUCCCAGGAAGGGGAGAGCAGGACGUUCUUAUCUAUACACUCCCAAAUACAAAGAGGGGCCCAUUCUUCAGAAUCACACACACACACUCUGAGAUCAUAAACUUCACACACACACACAUACUCUGAAACGCUAUAAAUAAAGAACUGCCACAUACGCUGGUUGUGGGCCUGAGACAGCAGCGCUCACCCAGCGUGCGCACGUUGUUACCAUCUAAACUAGGGGCCCAUUCUUCAGAAUCACACACACACACUCUGAGAUCAUAAACUUCACACACACACACAUACUCUGAAACGCUAUAAAUAAAGAACUGCCACAUACGCUGGUUGUGGGCCUGAGACAGCAGCGCUCACCCAGCGUGCGCACGUUGUUACCAUCUAAACUGUUUUGAGUGUCUUUAUUUCGCCUGAAGAAUGUCUUGUUUAAAUAUUUACUCCUUACAGGAUGUCUUUAAAAACAUAAUUAAAUUUAUGUGGAACGGAACUGUGGGAUGUUCUAGGAAGUGCAUUUCUCGGAGGUGACGCUCCAAACUUCCUGGGGACGCUCGGGAUUUUCCGUUGGACGGGAUAGUCCGAUUGGCGAUCGUGGAGAACUUGGGAACCUCCAAAAUAGCUAGUGGUUGGACCACUUUACCGUUUGGAACGGUUUAUGCACUUAUUUGGGUAGUAAAGGUUGGACCUUGGGCGUUGGACGCUUUUAAAUUGACUUAGGAACUUUAGCAAUUAGACCAGAUACAGGUUGGACCUGAGACUGUCAUUGACGAUCAAAAACUUGGAGUUUGUCCCUUGGAGGGUUAACUUAAAAAUUGUCUAAAUUGUGUAGGUUUUGAAAUGAGAGGCCUAAAAUCUGUGCAGUUGUAAUCAUAGGACGUCUGUGUAAAUAUAUUAAGAGACUUGUCUGAGUCUGAGAGUCAGGCUGGUAUUAUUUUUAGAUUGUGUGUGUGUGAGAAUGCAAAUAAGGCAGCUGAGAGGUCAAUAGAAUAUGAGGAAGUUUAUAGAGACUGCUAGACAUGGCUGAUGCAUGUAUUUAAGACGCUGGAUUUGUUUAUGACAAUAUUGUAAGUAAAGUUUUAUUUCUUGCCAUGACUGUAUGACUUUUUGCUGGGUUUUGAGAUAGGAUACUUAAACUGUUGAUACUUAUGACCGUUAUUUGGGGUCUGAAAACUGAAAUUGACUUUGAAAUAAUUUCAUUAAUAAAUAUGUCUGUAAGUGAUGUCUCUUUUGGUGUCUCCAAGUCAUUUGGACACAUUUGGUGUUUCUCAGGUAUUGACGUAGACUUUGAGUGAUAGAUAUAGGUGUAAGUUGUUUGAUGUUUGUUGGGCUAAGGAGGGGUUUAGCACAUUGUAAGUGGUUUUCUUCCAGUUCCAUAAUAUAUAAGGAGUUAGAUUUGACAGACUUAUUUACACUUUGGGUUUAUGUUAAUAUAGGUUGCAACGGGCACAGAGGAAACACAGUACAACAUCUUAAGGGUUUAAAAUAAUAAUAAAUAAAUGAAUGAAGUUUCUUAAGGGUUCUUGUGUGUGUUUUUAGGGAUAGUUUUUUGUGGGUUUUUAGGGGGAGUGUGUGUUGGUGGUGUUUGUGUGUGUAAAACGGAGAUAACAUGAAAACAGAGGAAAUAGAGACUAGAAUGUCCUAGAAGGCAAUAAAAUGCAAAUUAAGAAGCUGUGAACUGCUUAAACCACAGCUGGUUUCACAAGUACUGGUGCAAACAUUGUUGAAUGCAUGUGUUUAAGACGCCAUUUAUGUUUAUUAGAGGGUUAUAAAUAAAGUUUUGAGUUGCUGUAGUGGAUGUAUAGUAAGUGACUGAAUUUUGAUAGAUGUAUAUAUUGUGAGCCAUAAAGGCUGGUGUGUUUUAUUUUUCAGUUAUGUGUGUGUGGUGAGAAGCUGUGUGUGAGACGAUGAGAGGUUUCAGUUUUUUUUCUUUUUUCUUUUUGACUUGCUCUUUCUGAUUAUGGAAGGUAUGUCCAAGAUACUCGUAUGAAAGCGUAGCUUGAGUGAUUUUAACCGUGUGAAUGCUGUCAGUAUUUGAUUUGAAUGUCUCUGCAUGAGUUGUCUGAGUGAGUGAAAAAGGGAGAAGUUUGAGAGAAAAGGCAGUGUGUGUGAGACGAGUCAUGGCGUCUGAAAGAGGUUAGAACAUUUAAAAGUGGGUAUGAAAUAUAUUUCUUUUGUGAUGUAAAGUAGGAUGUUUUAAAGUUUGAAAGUGCUUGUAAUUCAAGAAAUGCAUGAGUGAUGGUAUGAGAGGUUGAGUUUAUUUUUAUGUUUGAAAGAGCUCUAUUUAAAAGUGUGUGAGAGGAAGGUGUGUGUGUGACUGAUGAUGUCAGGGGAGCACCCAGAGAAAUAGACAGAGUUAAAUUCUAAGAAGAUGAAGCAAAUGCAUGUUUUAAGAAAAAGUAAUAAAGUAAUAAAAUUAUAUUAAUUACAGGGUUUAGAAAAGAGACAGACCGAGAGAAAUAAAUACAUGAACUAACAAUUACAUUAAUGAAUUGAAAACGCACGUACACAAACUGUUACAUGUGAAAUUAUUGUUGGAAAGUUUAAUAAAGAAAGCAGUUUACACUCCUUUAAUUUCCAGAACCAGUGUGUCCCCUAGACCUGAUAACACCCUUGCCCAGUUGGCCCCUGUAGUAGGCGGGCAUGGAAGGCUGGACAGCCCAUGACGGGUAAGAUCCCACCUCGAAACCCUGGGACAACCUAAGGCAAGGCGCAGUCACGAUUGCUUGAACCUAAGUCCCGGAGUGACCUUGGAGUCACUGGAGGAGACGGGAUUUAACAGGUAAGGCCACUGGGCACAGGCGAGGGGAAAGGUCAUUAACAAUGACCAGUGAUGAGCCAGAGAGAGAAAACACACCCUGUCUAAAGGAGUUUGAAACACUGCAAAAGAAACAUUUACAAGAUCACAAGGAUCAUAAAGAAACAUUUAUAAAAAUCACACAUACAAACAGAAAAUGCACUAACCUUACAGAGAUAAGCUCAUGAAGAGUAAUGCAUAGAUAGUGAUUAAAACUUGGCUAGGAACACAAACAUAUGUAAUUAAAUCAGCCUGCUAAUUUCAUGAGGGUUAAAAUGGUGUGAAUGUUGUAGAAAAUAUACUUAAAACACACUUGGAUAAAAUAGAGUUGUUGUGAAAUAACUCAAACGAAGCUGUAUGACAAGGGAGUGAGUUAUGGGAAAAAACAAAAGAAAAGUGAUUAGUGUUUAUAAGAGUGACUCAGGAGUGCUCUUGCACUGAUUGAUCAAAACAAGUGAUUAGUAUAGAAAGAAAAUGAAAAUAAUCGAAUAAUGUGAUAAAGUUUAAACAUGUAUUUAUUUUGCCAAGUUAAGUUGUUGAGAUGUGACUCAGUAUGCAAAUUAGUUCGGGAGCUCAUGUGAGUGCGGACAGAGGACCUUGCUGUGUGUGUGAUUGAGGCCUUAAAGGAGAAGUUGACUGUUCAGAGGUGCAAAUUUGAUUAAGAGGUUUAUAAAUUAGUGUUGACACAUUGUUAUAACGUGUUUAUAUCUUAGGCUGAAUCUGAGUAUGGUAAAGUGCUUAAAGGGGGAUAUUGUUGUGUACGAAACGGUGCAGCUUUUGGCGAGGUUUUCAGUGUGUUGAACGGGUGAAAUUUCAGAUUGUUGAAGAUUUUUGAGGUUGUUGUUUUAUUUUUAAUAGAGGGAGUUUUAAUAAACAUGGACAUGUUUAAGGGUGGUUUGUAACAGUGCACUUAGAAAGAAAAACCUGUCAGGUGAUUUUGUUUUGUACUUUGAUGAGCUAACAAUCAGCUCUCUUUUUUCUCAUUUUUGCUCUAAGCAGGCCUGGAAGAGAGUGAACUGACGGCGCGGACAAAUUACCAAGUAAGGAUUGCAGCGAGUCAAUCCAGUCAAAAGUAUAGAGAACUAUUUUCCUAAAAAGGAAAACGAGAUAAAACAAAUGAUUGAGCUCAUUUUGCUGAUGUGGAGCAUCUGAUGACGUGCGCAGAAGGCUGCAGUAUCAGCAAAAAAUAUCAUGUGUGAAUGCAUGUGAGUGAAUGCGAGUGAUCGGACCAAGAGGGAAAUAAAUAAAAGGUUGACAAACAGGAGGAGUGGAAGACUUAAUUCUGGGGAUGUUGAUGUUUGUUUUGAGAAAAUUAUUUACUGGGGUUGGAUUAUGUUAUUACAUUAUAGAAUGCCAAAUGCUAAAAGGGAAACAUUGUUUGAGGUAACUCAAGUUACCAUUAACUGAGGUAACACAUGAUUAAUAACUGUUCUGUUUAAGUUUAUUUUGUGUUAUAACACAGGUUGGAUCAUAAGUGGGGAAAUUGAGUAUGAAAUGUGAAGUUCUGGUUAACACACAGGUUUUUGUUUCUAGGACGUUCCAAGGAUGCAGGCUGUGGAUGGAGCCAAGAAAAGAUUUGACAUGAUGAUUAAUUUGAUUUCAUUCCUUAAAAACAGGUUUGAAGGUCCGGAGCAUGUAGACUUAAUAUGAUAUGACUAACCUUUUCUUUUAAUGCCAUAACCUGAGUGAAGGAUUUUGAGUUUGUAACACAUGAGAUGUGUCACAAAAAGGGGGGAGUUACAGGAUUUAAGGUUUAAUUUGAAAGGGGUUUUAGGAUUACUUGAUGAUGUUUAGGUUUUUUGAUAAUUUAGGUAUGGUAAAACUGAGGCAGAAAGUGUUAUUUUCAGGUUAUUUUUGAUUUCUAGAAUAAGAGGUUAUAAUUUAGGCGUGCACAUACAGAUAUGUCAAAGGAAAAUUGUAUAUAUGUGAUUAGCUACAUGAAAUGUGCUCUUUUAGGGUUACUAAGCAAAUGUCUACGUGACUUUUACCUAAUAACUUAUGUGAUGAUAAAGUUGUUUACCGACUAGCAGCUUGCUCUCUUGUAGAACAUACAGACUUAGAAAAGGGGAACUUAAGCUCUGAGUUCUGAGAAUAACUCUGGUAUUUUUGUAAGUAGACAGGAAACACGUAGAGACCGCCGUAUAAGGGAAAUGUGUUAGAGCUUGUAAUUAAAUGCGGGCUUGAAAAGAGGAAGCAAAUUUGGUACAGGACGUGCUUGAGAUGAUCAGAUGAGAGAAGGGCAAGGUCAGGAAUAGUUUAAACUAAGAUUGAGAAAUUAAAUUGGGUGAAAGGGGGGUGUAGCAAGUAGAUUCAGGGCAGCUCACAGCCCGGCGUAAACGCAAGGUGC